AUAAUAGAUAACUAUAAAUUCCUACUAAUAGGUAGUAUACAAUUGAGUUCCCAUUCUGCAGGGUUUUCCUGUUCCAAACUUUCAGAUGAGUCCUGUAUAUUCUGCAGUGAUGGUUUAAGAUUGAAGAUUUCCUUAAGUUUUCAUCAUAAACAGGUUCAGUUUAACUUCUUGAGAUGGAAGUGUGCAGUCUUUCCUUCUGCCUGUCACUUAAUGUCACGAUACUGCAAACAUCAACCUCAGAACCCUCUCUGGAACCUGGACUGCGAUCUGUGAGGCGUUUCCCCCUUACAUAUAGCUUUCUGUGCAGCUGUUAGAGCAUUCUGUCUUUCAGAGUGGAAUACUGAGUCAGUUCUCCAACUUCCCGUGUCGCAUUGGAGCAUCCAUGACCCGCGUCCUUCCACUGCCCCUGCCUGUCUCUCCUCUGGCCAUCUGAAGCUUCUGAGUGCUGUCUUUAGCUUUCUGUCUGACACCUGAGCAACAUUCAACUCCUAAAUCUCUUCCAAGUCCAAGCUUCCUUCCUCAUCGCCAUUACCACUGUUCUUACCCGGACCGCAUCACUUUGCUGCUUUCACCACAGCUCCUAUCUUGCUCUUGUCUCCAGUCUUUCCUUCUGGAAUCUAUUUUUCAGAGAUGCUCCCCUAGUGCAAGCUCCACCACAUCUCUUGUCCACUCCGAUGCUCUUCCUUGUCCCUGUGGGGUGAACGCCUUUCUUGGCAAUGCAUACACAGGGCUUGUCAUGCACUCUCACCCACAUGAAAAGUGUACUGUGAAAAUAUUAAACGAUGCGCUUCUCCCAUGUGCCAAGGCCCUCUUCCUGUCUCUGCAAACCGCAGUGCCGCCUCUAGCUCAACACAGCCUUUGCCACUACAACCCCCGCACCUACACAAUGUGGGCUCAAACACAGAUGACAGCGUGUUGAUACAUGAAAAGGACUUGAUUAUUAAAUAAAUCCAAACUCAAGAUUGUAUUUACGUAUUUAAUUUUAUUUAGUAUACACCACUAUGACCUUAUUGUAAUUGAAAUCCAUUACGGGAUUUUUAAAAUUUUAUUUUAUGAUUAGUCAACUCCACAAAGACAAUAAUACUGCUGUGGAAGACCAAAGGGAGAAAAAACCUGAUGUAUUUAUUUACAAUUCCCUAUGCUGUAAACAUGUAAUCUAUACACGGUUAUUAACUUAUAACGAGAGCAUUACAGA
rnacentral:lncRNA from 1 species